rnacentral:lncRNA from 1 species
GAACAGAAAACAGCCCCAGUUGUCUCGGACUCCCGGUCUCUUACCCCGAAUCGUCUCGUCUCGGUGUCUGCCAAGUCUUUGAAGUUUGAACCAUGUGCGUAGGCGGUUCCUAGCUGCUUCCCACCUACUACGUCAGAUGAAUUAGAAUACAGGUGUAUUUUUCAAAGCUAACUGCUUUACUGGUCUGGCAACCAACGGACACAUGAUAUGAGGCAACGCUUUCUUCUUAGCAAACUCAUACUAGGAUUGAUGUCCCUCUUCUGAUUAUUACUAGCCUUUUCACAUCAAUAUUCAAAGGUGUGUUUUCUCCACCCAUGAGAAAAGUUCAUCAUUAAUUUAUUUGCUUAGCUUGCUUUUGAUCCAUGAAAUCCUGCUGAUUCAACAGGGACGCGUGAACAAAGCCUAUGUCGCCUUGGAAGCAGCAAGAGUUAUAGAAGAACCCUUCUCAGCUUUGACUUUUGAUGCACCGCCUUCUUUUUCCCACGAUGCUCUGUCUCACUAUGAUUUCAGGGCAGCACUGCGAGGGCGAACUCGGAGACCUAGGCUUUCUCCACCAUCUCCAGUUAUCAAUACCCCUAUUCAUUUCAGUCCACCACCUCCAUCUCAUCCACCACCGUCGCCGCCGCUAGCACCGGCGCCGCCACCACCAUGUUAAAUUGUUAAUGUAUGUUUGGAACAGCCAGAAAUAUAUGUAUCCAGUUUCUCUGUCCAUUAAGUGUAGCCAUGUACUGCUUCAAAUAAAAUCAUCGGGCUCUUAUUAGUUAUUACUGAUUUGAUCUCCCUGUAUCUUUCUUAAUUUCCAAUAAAAAUUGAAACACUGGCUCCUAGUGUUAAUUAUCACUUCAAUCUGUAUAUCGUUGCAGUAUUUACAUAAGUUAGAUGAUAUUCCUUUUUUCAAGUUUUGUGGUGGAUUGUGCCUUGUCAUUUCUGAGGAAAAAUUGCGUGACAGUCCUGUUCAUGUAUUUUAUUCUUUUAUUCCUUUUUCCUCCUCA